CGAUGAAGCCCUUCGGGGUGGAUUAGUGGCGAACGGGUGAGUAACACGUGGGCAAUCUGCCCUUCACUCUGGGACAAGCCCUGGAAACGGGGUCUAAUACCGGAUAACACUUCCGUCCUCCUGGACGGUGGUUAAAAGCUCCGGCGGUGAAGGAUGAGCCCGCGGCCUAUCAGCUUGUUGGUGAGGUAAUGGCUCACCAAGGCGACGACGGGUAGCCGGCCUGAGAGGGCGACCGGCCACACUGGGACUGAGACACGGCCCAGACUCCUACGGGAGGCAGCAGUGGGGAAUAUUGCACAAUGGGCGAAAGCCUGAUGCAGCGACGCCGCGUGAGGGAUGACGGCCUUCGGGUUGUAAACCUCUUUCAGCAGGGAAGAAGCGAAAGUGACGGUACCUGCAGAAGAAGCGCCGGCUAACUACGUGCCAGCAGCCGCGGUAAUACGUAGGGCGCAAGCGUUGUCCGGAAUUAUUGGGCGUAAAGAGCUCGUAGGCGGCUUGUCACGUCGGUUGUGAAAGCCCGGGGCUUAACCCCGGGUCUGCAGUCGAUACGGGCAGGCUAGAGUGUGGUAGGGGAGAUCGGAAUUCCUGGUGUAGCGGUGAAAUGCGCAGAUAUCAGGAGGAACACCGGUGGCGAAGGCGGAUCUCUGGGCCAUUACUGACGCUGAGGAGCGAAAGCGUGGGGAGCGAACAGGAUUAGAUACCCUGGUAGUCCACGCCGUAAACGGUGGGAACUAGGUGUUGGCGACAUUCCACGUCGUCGGUGCCGCAGCUAACGCAUUAAGUUCCCCGCCUGGGGAGUACGGCCGCA
rnacentral:rRNA from 1 species